CCGAGAGGCGUAGUCGAUGGACAACGGGUUGAUAUUCCCGUACCGGCGAAGAACCGCCCAAGUCAAUCCAGUGAUGCUAAGUGUCCGAAGCCUUCCAUCGUCACCUUCGGGUGGCACCGGGAGGUGGAGCACACGACCCUAUGCUGGUGCGGCUAGCGUAUUAACAGGUGUGACGCAGGAAGGUAGCCCAAGCCAGGCGAUGGUUGUCCUGGUGCAAGUGCGUAGGCCGAACGGUAGGCAAAUCCGCCGUUCAUCAAGGCUGAGACACGAUGCGGAUGAAAAGUGGGUGAUCCUAUGCUGCCGAGAAAAGCAUCGACGCGAGGUUCAAGCCGCCCGUACCCCAAACCGACUCAGG
rnacentral:rRNA from 1 species